GGGUCUUGGCAUAGAUAUUGGAGCAGUCUCUAUUUUUAUUUUUUUUCAUUUCUUUAUUACAGAGAAAACAGUGCUAAAAAUGCUCAGUUGGCCAAACUUUCAAGAGAGGAAAGUCUCUUAAACCUUAUGCUUCAUAUAUAUGAGAAGAAAAUUCUUCUUGUGGCAAUGCUAAAAAUUCUCAGUGCCCAACCUCCAUUCUCUAAUAUCAUCAAUGGUUGUAUGUUGUAUUAAUAACUUCAUAUCAAUAUAUAACUGGGGGUUAGGUGAACAAAAGCAACAGGCCAAGGUUUCCGCUGAAUCUCCAGUGUAAGUAAUUAAGUAAUCUCUAACUUUUUAGACUGCUUUUCUCCUGAACAUUAGGAAUAGAAAAUUUGACUUAUGUUGAGCUCAAAACAUAUGGAUUUAGGUCAAGACUUUAGAAUUGAAGAAAUUGGAAAAAAUGAUUUGAAAUCAAUCUGUGAUGUAAAUAUGUAAUUUACUCAAUGUUCAAGCAUUUUGGAGAAAUCUAAUAAAUAAAGCUUAUGUCUUGUUCAUAAAGGAAGGUACUUGCCACUCCAUUUGGAUUUUUACUUUACCUUAAGUGUGAUAACCAGACUGCUCUACAUAUUCACUCGUGCCUCUCAUCCGUAAGUGCCAAAGUAAAAUUUGCUCCAAUCCCAGAGUUGAAGAAAUAGCUGCAGUACUUAGAAGAGUGUUACCUUGCAAUGCUUCUUGUCCAUUUCAUUACAUUACAAGUGUUUCAGAACCCCAUCCAGUGCUUUGAACAUUUAACCAAAAGCCUUAACAUUUUCGGUGGACCAAAUAGUUCCCAUUCAGCAAUGUAUAUGGUAGAUUAGCUAAAGUUUUAGUUCUAUACUGCAAUGUCAUUUCAAUAGCAAUAUCAGGCAAAUUGCCAGUAAUUAGUAAUGCUACAUGCAACAAUAGGCAAAUCGCCAGGCCAUUUCAACUCAGACUGUUGCAACUUUAUUAUUCGAAGAUAUAAUGUACAGAUUGCAGUGGCAAAAGUAAAUUGCUGAAUCAACUAGAAAAGAAGUUUCAGUCACAAAAAAUUUAAGCAAACAAAAAAAAAUGAUUCCGAAUUCUUCCAUGCAAAUAAAUUAAAAACAUAAUCAUUGUAUAUCAUAUACAACAGAGUGACAGUUAAAACAAGG
rnacentral:lncRNA from 1 species